AGGGGUAUAGCUCAGUGGUAGAGUGCAUGCUUAGCAGGCGAGAAGUCCUGGGUUUAAUCUCCAGUACCUCCA
rnacentral:tRNA from 1 species